CCUGCCAACAGUAUUCAAACCACAGAUACUGGGAAGAUUUCUACCUCUUUUCUUUACAGAUAAGAGUAUUGAUUACUCACUAAGGCACAUUAGUCUGGGUAUUUCUCCUCUUGCUGGUAAUAUACUCCCUCGAAAGUAUGGAAUAAACCAUCCAUCUGUACUGCAUUACCUUUUCCAAAGAAAAUUCUAUGUAGUCAUUUUCCCUGAGAAAAUAAGCAAUGACGCCAGCCAUAUUCAUAGCAAAUCUGUGAGAAAAAACAAGUUUCUGAUGGUUGAGAUACAGUUAGAACCACACCUAUCGCAAGACAGGGUUAUGAACUAGAUGUACACUGGACUACAAAAAAGGAUUGCAGCAUGUGCACAAAAAAUCUGCCCAGAGACCCCAGUUGUGAAAAUACCAUACCACCUUACCAUGAGACACUGACAAGAAGAAACACAACUGAUAGAGUAAAUGAGCUGUCUUCUGGUUGGAGUUUACUGACUACAGUACUCAGGAGACCUACAGUAUUUGUAAUGCAAUUCAUGAAAGACCUAACUAUAUCGAGCCAAUUGUGUUGCUAUGGCAUCAAGUUCCAGAGAUUUUACUUCUGAGUUACAGCUUGCUGACAGGGACACUUUCAAGAUUAUAGGGGGAGAAAAGAAGACUUGUCCAUGAAUCACAUGUUGGAAUUCAACAUCAAAACCAGAUUCUUCCAACUGUCCAGAAGAUGCCACAAUGGGUAACACUGCAAAACACAGAAAAUUCUGGAUGAUCUUUAUAUUUUUAAGAUGAUAUAAUAACUGAAAUUUUCCUUUCAUACAGGCUAUACAAGCUGACUUUAAAAAUAAAUCUCUGCAGCUGACAAACA
rnacentral:lncRNA from 1 species